AUUUGAUGAUGUGGAUAGGUAGCACACAAUUUCUUAAACCUUUCUCAAUAUUCAUAUAAGUUUUCCCCAUUCUAUUGCUGAAUCCCACAAAUUUCUUUCCUAAUGAGU